AUACUACUCCCUCCGUCCCAUACUAAGUGACUUUCUAUUACAUGUAUCUAGACACUUUCUAGGCAUAGAUACAUGGCAAAUUUGAGUCACUUAAUAUGGGACGGGGGGAGUACAAG
rnacentral:pre_miRNA from 1 species